rnacentral:lncRNA from 1 species
ACAAGUUCUUUUUUCUCCUUGGGUCCCAGUUUCUCCAUCCAUAAUAUGUACGAGUUGGAGUAGAGGAUAUCUAGUGCUUGUCUUAGUGUUCACCUUCUAUGAUUCCAAUAACACUUGUCACUCUUGUAAGUGAAUUCCUGCUGAAAGUAUCACUGUCAUAAGAGAUUUUUUUGAGGUCUUCACAUGGGAACCCUUCAUCUGACUUUCUCAGAACUGGUUGAACCCUCCACAGAGUUGUGAACCAGAACUUUGGUUCUGGCUCCCCCACUUACUUGCUACUUCUGUGAUUCUGGUAUUUUACCUCUAUUAGUGAUUGCUUCGAUGUUAGCUCAGUGGUUCCCAAACUUUGCACGUUGGAAUCAUCUGAGGAUCCUUUAAACCUACUGAUGGCCACCCGCUACCCACAGCUCUUCUGAUUUAAUUGGGAUGUGAUAUGGGAAUUGAGGGUUCUAAAAGCUCACCCAGAUAAUUGUAAUGUGCAAUAAUGAUUGAGAACUAUUGUAUUCCUGACACUUAAACUAUUAGUGGGUAAUUAACUUAUGAGCUAAUAAGUGGCAAGCUAACAUGGAAAAAAACCAAGAGUCCCUCCUCUCUCUGAACUUAGAGAAGUUCUCCAGUGCCCUAAUGGUUCAAAGGAAGAGGACAGAAAUAGUGGUUAAGGUGGUAUUAUAGAGAAAGGGACCGCCCUGUCCCUUGUCCAGUGGCAGUCAACUAUGCAAGUAUAUUUUUCUCUCAUUUUUUCUCUGUUGCCCUUAACUGAUUUGAGACUCAGAUCUUAGUCAUUCUGAAUCAGAAUUGUGCUACAACUCCACACAUACUCAAAACAUAUGUUGUCACUUCUACGACCAAAGCAGACAUUUGCAAUCCAUCACUGGACUUAUUCCUGCUGGAUGAAACCCUGAAUGUGUCCUCCCAGGCUCUCACUACUCAGUGAUUCUGGUAGUCACUGCACCAAUGGGUCAGGGUUGGCAGGAAGACAUCUACUUAUCAUCCUGACUCCAAGGAAUACUUAUGCACAUAGAGGAACACAUUUUUUUUGGAGGAGGGGGAAAGGAUGUGUUGUAUAUUUUAUGGCCCUGUUCUCCUGAUGGUAACUUUGAGAAAUCACCUUCGCCCUGAUCUUCAGUUUAUUUAUCUGAAAUAGGAAAUUUGGAUCUUUUAGUCUACUAGUUGCAAAAGCAAAGGAGACCUGUCACUGCAGUAGUGUUUUCUGGAGUUCGAAUCAAUAUGAGACAAAUCGCAGAUUCAAUUGAAAGCUGCAUAUGGAAGAGUCAAUAUUUGAGAAAAGGGAACAUUGAGGCUGUUCAUCCUCACCUCAAGGAAUGAAGCAGAUUGAGAAACCGCAACUCAAUAAAAAAGAGAGAACUUCCAGCUUUUUGAGAUAGGUUCUAUAUUUUUUUUCUUAUUUAAGAGUAGUUUUAUAGAACUUAUUUUCCAGGUUUUUUUUUUUUUAAUAGAACUUAAAGUAAAUCUUGACUCAAAGCAUUGGAGAGGAUUGAAAUAUGAUUCCAUUUUCUCUCCCUCACCAUCUUUGAAUUUAAAAAUCAUAUCUGCUUUUUUUAUUUUCAAGAGCCAUGAACUUGCAAAGCUUAGUAAAGUAACAAGAAGCAUGAAUUGUGUGUGGUAGAGGGUGGAGUUUCAACACCUCUUUUAAGUUCCAUGGUCUCUAGGCUCUCUUCUUCAGAGGCAAUGAUGCUGCCUGGGAUCAAGACCAAGGAUAAAGUUCUCAUCCAAACUCUCAGGCUUCCAGGCCUAGCCACAUUAGAGCUUAGAAACCAUCCCUGUUCCUUUACUAUGUCAGUAUAGAGUGCUAUGAAUGGAGUCAAGACUUUAGAGCCAAACAAAUGGGGGUGCAAAUCCCAGCUUUGCUUCUUGCUCCGUGGCCUUAGACAGCUCCUCUAACUUCUUUGAGCCUUGGUUUCCACCACUAAAGAAGGGAUUAAUAAUGCCUGCCUCUCAGAAGUUCAAAAGUAAAGGGCCGAAAAGAAAGCCUGGCUCAGGGUAGAUGCUACUUGGUGAAAUUGCCUGGGCAAAUCUGCUCCAACUAUGACAGUGAUGACCUAUGCCUACCUUAAGAGGCCAAACUCCAAUCCUUUUACUUUCCCAUGAACUGGCAGACAAAACACCACAGUGGCCAUACCAACUUGGUGGAAAGUAAUAUUCUCUGGCUUGAUGCACAGGGACUCCAUUCUGUCAACCUCGGGAGAACUGCCAUCAUUCCCUGCCAUGUGGCUUUGGUGGGUUGCCAACCACAAGACACUGGACUUCCCUACCACAGAGAGGACAGGUGACCCAAGACACACCAAUCUGAUUCUCCUUCCUUAGAGCUUGAAUCUCAAUGGAAACAUGUAAGAAAGGCAACAACUUAGGACAAAGUCAUUCUAAGGCUGAAUGGGAAAAAAGACCACCUUCCAUGGAAAACUCGAGACCCUCCUUCUUUCCUGGCUUCACAAAGCCAUGCCAUUUAGGAUACUGACUCAUCCUCUUUCAAUUCUGAGCACUACCCAGUGCUGACUUAACCUCCCUUUUCUAUGCAAGAGUUAGAGCAGUGUCUUCUGCUGGCAAAGAAGAUGACACAUGAUAGAACUAUCCGGAUGUGGAUUGGGAGCUCCCUUUUUAAUAUAGUAUGACUGUACUUACUAGUCAACUUACCUCGAAGAGCAAAGGAUACAACUUUCAUGUAAGUAUGGGUUCCACUAGUGUAGACAGACAGUCUUUGGGCCAAAGGGGUUCUCAAAGGGCAUUCAGUCUAAUGUCCUCGUUUAAUAUCCAAGAAAUCUGAGGCCAGGGGGUGGAAAUACACACAUGUGUAUGCAUGUGUGUGUGUGUGUGUGUGAUAGUCAUUGUCCCAUUUUGUGUGUGUGUGUGGAUUGGAUAAAGAAUUUCCAGACUCAUAGUAGUGUGAAGAGAAAGAAGAGUUUACUGAGGGAAGAAACACUGCUAGCAUGGGGGGGGUGGCGACUUCCUGAUGAUCAGGGAGAGCCUUCUCCAAGCAUGUGGUUGCAUCUUUUUAUAGUCCAGGGCUAAAGGAGAGAGGAGAGGUCUUAGGGUGUACUUGCUGGUUUGUUAGGGAUGCAUAUUGCCCCGAUAGGGGUGGGGCGAGGAGUGGGCCAAAUACUUUCCUGGUAGGGGGCAGGAAGGAGUAAGGCAGCUUGCUCAGGAGGGGCUGGAGAACUCUGUAACAAUUGCAGUGGGAUGUGAGGAGCAAUAAGGCUCUGAUAACUUUUAUUCUGGCCAUAGGCUCUUUGAGUUGAUCUCUUUGGAGAGGCGUUGAAGUCCCACAUCCUAAAGUCAUUUGGUGGCAGACCUCAGUUUCGAGUUCAGAUCCCCUUACACCAAGCCUAGUGUGUUGUCUGUCUCUUGCCAUUCUGAACUUAUGCUUGUGGACAUAAUGCUUUGAGCUCAGCUCCUGAAAGGCCAUAAUGCUAGUUUUCAUCCUUGUAAAAGCUGAUGAGCUUUCCCUUGUGUCAGAGACGACGCCUGUGCCCCUGACCAGACCUCUGGCACUGAAGGGUAUUGGCUCAGAAGAAGCAAUGGAGGCUACCAUGUGAGAUUUAGGUUGCAUCCAGGCAGCCCAGAUCCACCAAAAAAAAAAAAAAAAAAAAA